CUUUUAUCUUAGGUGUAUAAUCUCAUCAACUUUGCAGGAAAAACAGAUACCCUUAGGGUCUGAAUUGGCGUUUGAAUAGAUAAGCUCACUUUUAGUCCAUGCCUCAUAGUAUUACAUUAUUGUUUAGGAAGAGAUAGCAGGCUAUAUCUUAUAAAUUUUAAUAUACUCUUUCUGUCAUCGAAUAACACAGAAUUAUCCCUGAUAAAUAAUAGGAUUCAUAUACAAUUGUGGAUGAUGUCUAGCUACUCUAUUUCUGCUAAAAGGAGAACACAGAUCAACAUUAUUCCAUGGCCAGCAUUUCAGUGACUUUAGAAACUUACAUGCAGUUAGCACCUCUUCACAUAUUGCUCAGAAAGCAUAUUCUCCAGUGAUUUCAGAGGGAGAACAAGAGGGACUCCAAAGGAGAAUUUACUGGAUGUUUGUGAAAUUUGGGGCAAUAGAGCCUCUCAAAGUUUCCUCCCAGGCAAAAGAAAGAUGAUUAAUUCCUUAUUCACAGGUUGGUUGUAACUAUAAAAUGGGAUGAUGCAGUUAGAUAAAAAGUUUGUGAAGCACUAUGUUGGUAUUACUACUAUUGCAUAAAGAUGAACAGUGAGCACAGUAGGCCAGACCUUAUUAAAUUCAGUGCUUUAGAUGGUGCGUUAGCACACAGAGUAGCCAGGGAGUAGGCUCUGGAGAGGGGUACAGAGGGGACAGGCUGAACAGUAUUGACCCUGGCAUUACAACACCCACUGCCAGAAUUUCCUGGUUUGCAGUACCAUUCAUGUUUGUUCAAGGUAAAGGGCACACUCUGCCUCUCUCAUAGCAAAGGGAUUCCUCCUCUGGCAAAGGUGCUGAUGUCACUGAUGUCACACAAUUUAGUAACAGUAAACAUGGGCGUAUUAAUGGAAAGGAGUAGGUUAACAUUCUCUUGAGGGAGUUCAAGGAAGCUUUUCCAACUGAGAAUUGAGGUGGGUGGAGAAAUAAGAGUUAAACAGUGAAUGGGCAUUAACUAAAUAUACCACAACAAAGUCUGGCCAGAUAAAAUAUAGAUGAACUAUCCCUCUCUCCACAUGCACACCAAACACCUGUUAACAUAGCAAUUGUGCACCGCAAGUGAGAGAGUUAAUGAUAACUGAUUAGAUGAUUCCACUGUCCCUGGGUAGGAAGAUGCCUGGUAGCUGAAAAGCUCUGCUCUGUUUUCUGUUAGCAGAGAUUCUACUACCAUCAUCUUAUUUUGCAGCAAUAGAGACAAAGGGGAUUUUCCUGAGCAGCAUCAGUAACAAAGAAAUGAGUCAAAUUAUUAAGAAACUGAUGGGCAUUCACUGAAGAGCAACAAAUAUGAUGUAUAUGUCUAAAGGGACUGCCUUCAGAGGGCAGAUGAAAGAGACAAGUCUCCUAGCAUGACCACACGGCUCUAACGGGACUGGCUCAUCAGCCACAAGUACUUGAAGGCUGCAGUCGUAAUUAGCAACUGACACAUUCUGAAACCUGUGGUGGCCCAGAAGAACACACAUGUGCACAGGCUGUGCCAACCUGGGGCAAUAACUGCAACUGAAAGGAACGGGCACAGCUUGGUCAGAUGGAAACUGGGGCAGGCAGAGAAGGGCUCAUGUUACUGUGAUUACUAGAAGGAGCACAGCUGUGACCAUCUCAACCCUUCUCAGCCAGAGGAUGACACGGAAGCAGGGGACAAAAAUGGUAAAAGGGUCACAGGAGGGAGAGGCAGCGAGAAAGAAAGCGAAAGAAUCCAGAGAGGGAAACUCACAGAUGCAAGCUCUUUGCAGGUGGAGAAUAUCACAGCUCCUGAGAAAAAUACUGUAUGUGGUUGAGCAUAAGUGAAACUUAGCGUUCUAGAAGACUGAAGUUUGCAACAAACAAAUUCAGGGUUUGACCUACACCUGACAGAUAUAGGUCAACCCUCAGCCUGCUGCUCUCAGCAGCUGUAGCCAAUAGGAGACAGUGCUGCCCAGCAUGCUGGUUUAAGCUGCUGCUAAUAGAGGGAAAUAAACCUAACCCCAUAUUUCCUGCCUCUGUAGUCCUCACUUGUCUAUUCAUCACCAACUCAGGCGCAGGCAGAGCUGCUGGCUUGCUGUAACUGCUGGAUGACUGAUAAAUGGAAUCUGGUGAUAGCAUAUAUAUUCCCAUCUCAUCUAGCUAAAAAAAAUUGUUGUAAAGUCUUUUAAGGGAGGACUAUUAAAAUGCAAUAUUCCCUCAUUAAUGUAAAUGCUUUCCUAAAUUCAUACAACCAGAAGAGACUUACUAAUUCUUCACACCAACAGAACUUAAGAGAUGUUUAGAGAGAGGAAAUUCUGUGACAGAGGCGUGUUUUUGAAAGGAUACAGCAGAGAUUAAGUGACUUAUCCCAUGUUACUUAGUGGUGAUGGUUAAGGCAGAAAGAGAACUGAGAGAGUGGUCUGAGAGUAAGUGUGGAAAUUAUGAAAUUAAAUCUAAAGAAAGAACAUCAUCACCAAAUCAUGUUGCGUUAAAUAUCUAUUGGAAAUCCCAGUUCAGUAACACACAUUGCUUUAUCCUACAUGUUCAGACUCAUGUUAAAAGUGAGUUCAGAUAUUUCCUAGGCUCAUGUUUUUUAAAAAAAUGUUCAACCAUUCUCCUCAAUGAACAUGACAUUAAUUCAAGCUAAGUCCAGUCAGAUGGCCUCAACUUUAUUCACUAAAGAAGCCAGUAGGCAAGUGCCUAGUGAGGUAAAUUAGAGGUUUAAUUAGAAGAACAAACAAUAAAUGCUACAUGUUCUGUUGCAA